rnacentral:misc_RNA from 1 species
ACGAAAUCGAGCUUCGGCUCGGUGACGUCUCUCUCGCUGUGCGCCUUUUGGCUGCACGCUUGGGAAUCCACACACCUGUGCACACUCGGUUGGCGGGUUUCGGCCCGCCAUUCGCCUACACUUACUUUGUAUGUCUCGAAUGUCUAAACGUCUUUAAUGACAAAAUA